rnacentral:rRNA from 1 species
GAAGGUGGCGGGCGUUGUUCGGAUUCACUGGGGCAUAAAGGGCGCGUAGGCUGUCUCGUAAGCGGUGUGUGAAAGCCCGGGGGCUCAACCCCGGGAACUGCAUACCGAACUGCGGGGCUAGAGGACGAGAGGGGAGUAUGGAACUCUAGGUGGAGCGGUGAAAUGCGUAGAUAUCUAGAGGAACGCCGGUGGCGAAAGCGAUACUCUGGCUCGUCCCUGACGCUGAGGCGCGAAAGCGUGGGUAGCAAACAGGAUUAGAUACCCUGGUAGUCCACGCCGUAAACGAUGAGCACUAGGUAGCCGUGGGAUCCGACCCAUGGCUGCUGCAGGUAAUCCAAUAAGUGCUCCGCCUGGGGAGUAUGGUCGCAAAGGCUG